AGAAUAAAACAACUAAAAUGUCUAAUUUACUGUUAAAUAGUUGUUUAAAUAUUUUGAUUAAUUUAUUAAAUUAUAAUGAAAUAGUUUUUCUUAAUAAAAUCUAUACUAUCUUAUAAAGCAUUUGACUGAAACUCUUAAAAACAAUCUUUUAAGCAUAUAGUACAAUCUUUAAAGCCAUAUCCCUAAAAACCAAUCCCUCUUAUCGCAUCCCUAAAACAAAUUCCUAAUUUUAUCGCAUCCCUAAUCUAAACCCAAUCCCUAAUCGAUUUUCAAACCCAUGAUUAGAUAUUUUGAUGAAAUCGAUUUGGGUUAUCGCUUCAAACAGAUUAUGAGAUAGAUUUUGAUUUUGAUUUCUAUCUUAUCCCUAAACCCAAUUCGACUUUCUCGCCAUCCCUAAUAUAAGGAUCGAUUUGGGUUAUCGCUUCAAACAGAUUAUAAGAGAUUUUGAUUUAUGUUGACUUUAUUUGCAGUUCGAGAAUUUGCUACUAUCAGUAUACAGAUUUUGAGUUCAAGAAUUUCCUGGCUUGCUACUAUUGGUGGUUGAUUUCGACUCACAGUUGAAGGAAACAAUUAUUCAGUUCAAGAAUUUGCUGGUUUGCUACUAUUGGUGGUUGAUUUCGACUCACAGUUGAAGGAAGCAAUUAUUCAGGUUUUGAUUUUCUGGUUGAUAAAGAAAGUGUGUGCUUUUAUGGGUGCAUCAAAACAUAUCUAACAGAAGCUUGGUUGGGAUGAGUAUUGAAGAUAAAAUGGUGGAAGUUUGGAGAAUGGUUCCUAUUUAUGACUGUAUUAAAUCAUAUCUUUAUGUAAUUCUUUUACUAUAUUCCUCUUCAUAUAACUUACAUAUCCUUUUUAUUCAUCUACUGUAGUUAGUGACUUGUAAAUAUUUCAGUGUAUCUUCAAGUUACUUUUAUAUCCCUUUUGUUUA